GAUGAACGCUGACAGAAUGCUUAACACAUGCAAGUCAACUGUGGCGGACGGGUGAGUAACGCGUAAAGAACUUGCCUCACGGAUAGGGACAACAUUUGGAAACGAAUGCUAAUACCUGAUACUGUGAGAGAGCUUUGCGUCCCAUUAGCUAGUUGGAGAGGUAACGGCUCACCAAGGCGAUGAUGGGUAGCCGGCCUGAGAGGGUGAUCGGCCACAAGGGGACGGAGACAAGGCCCUUACUCCUACGGGAGGCAGCAGGGGGUAAGAUUGGACAAGGGACCAAAGUCUGAUCCAGCAAUGCGGUGUGAACGAUGAAGUUUUCGGAAUGUAAAGUGCUUUCAGUUGGGAAGCGGUACCAACAGAAGAAGGGACGGCUAAAUACGUGCCAGCCGCGCGGUAAUAC
rnacentral:rRNA from 1 species